rnacentral:siRNA from 1 species
CAACCUUUCAUCGUUCCC